rnacentral:rRNA from 1 species
UACGUAGGGUGCAAGCGUUGUCCGGAAUUAUUGGGCGUAAAGGGCUCGUAGGCGGUCCAUCGCGUCGGGAGUGAAAAGCUGGGGCUCAACCCCAGUCCUGCUUUCGAUACGGGUGGACUAGAGGUAGGCAGGGGAGAACGGAAUUCCUGGUGUAGCGGUGAAAUGCGCAGAUAUCAGGAAGAACACCUAUGGCGAAGGCAGCUCUCUGGGACGGUACUGACGCUGAGACGCGAAAGCGUGGGGAGCGAACAGG